rnacentral:tRNA from 1 species
GUUCUUAUAGUGUAUAAAGCACACUAGAUUUUCAAUCUUUUAGAAUAUUAAUUAUAUUAUAUUGGGAAUA